rnacentral:tRNA from 1 species
GCCGGGGUCGGAUAGCUCGGAAGUCCGUCAGCCUCGAGAGCUGAUGUCCCUCUGGGACACGUGGGUUCAAAUCCCACUCCCGGCGCCA